AUGAACGCUGGCGGCGUGCCUAACACAUGCAAGUCGAACGAAGCAAUUAAAAUGAAGUUUUCGGAUGGAUUUUUGAUUGACUGAGUGGCGGACGGGUGAGUAACGCGUGGAUAACCUGCCUCACACUGGGGGAUAACAGUUAGAAAUGACUGCUAAUACCGCAUAAGCGCACAGUACCGCAUGGUACGGUGUGAAAAACUCCGGUGGUGUGAGAUGGAUCCGCGUCUGAUUAGCCAGUUGGCGGGGUAACGGCCCACCAAAGCGACGAUCAGUAGCCGACCUGAGAGGGUGACCGGCCACAUUGGGACUGAGACACGGCCCAAACUCCUACGGGAGGCAGCAGUGGGGAAUAUUGCACAAUGGGCGAAAGCCUGGUGCAGCGACGCCGCGUGAGUGAAGAAGUAUUUCGGUAUGUAAAGCUCUAUCAGCAGGGAAGAAAAUGACGGUACCUGACUAAGAAGCCCCGGCUAACUACGUGCCAGCAGCCGCGGUAAUACGUAGGGGGCAAGCGUUAUCCGGAUUUACUGGGUGUAAAGGGAGCGUAUACGGCGAAUCAAGUCUGAAGUGAAAACCCAGGGCUCAACCCUGGGACUGCUUUGGAAACUGUUUUGCUAGAGUGUCGGAGAGGUAAGUGGAAUUCCUAGUGUAGCGGUGAAAUGCGUAGAUAUUAGGAGGAACACCAGUGGCGAAGGCGGCUUACUGGACGAUAACUGACGUUGAGGCUCGAAAGCGUGGGGAGCAAACAGGAUUA
rnacentral:rRNA from 1 species